rnacentral:rRNA from 1 species
GCAAAAGUCGUGGCAGGAGCGCGCGGAGUACGGCGGUUGUGAGCGGUUGCCGGAAGUAGGGGGCUUAGAGGUCUCGUAGGCGGUUUGUUGCGUGUGCUGUUGACACUCGGGGUUGAGCUCCGAGCUUGCAGUCGUGACGGGCAGAGUAGAGUGCGGCAGGGGAGACUGGAAUUCCUGGUGUAGCGGUGAAAUGCGCAGAUAUCAGGAGGAACACCGGUGGCGAAGGCGGGUCUCUGGGCCGAUACUGACGCUGAGGAGCGAAAGCGUGGGGAGCGAACAGGAUUAGAUACCCCGGUAGUC